ACAAAUUGGUCAUGGGAGGAGUUUCAUUAAAUCAAAACCAUCAAUUCAUUUUGGGAGAUGAAAUGUACAUUUCAUCAAUCCCCUAAAUCCAAUAGUUUUGAUCCAACAAAAGUCAAAUCAAUCUUGACCAAGGCCCAAACAGAAAGUCAAACAUCACAAGAUCAUAAAAAUGGCUCAACAUAAUUUUUAAACAUUUAACCAAUUAAAAAUCCAAUUAAAAGUGAACUAAAAU
rnacentral:lncRNA from 1 species